rnacentral:lncRNA from 1 species
GUAAGUUUGCUGCUUUGUUCUCUCCAAUUUUCCAGAGAAGCCAAGGCAGCUCUCGGGAGCUUCUCAAGUAGAUUUGGAUCAAAGUCCCAGAGUCCAGGCGUGGGAGGGGGCAAGCUGCAGCCCCAGUGGCAAGGAGCCGCCCCCCUGGGAUUCGGUCACCAAUGAGGAGGAAGGCUGGAGCCAGAACAAGCGCUCCUGUUGACCCCACUCCCUUCCCACGCAUCUCCAGGGCUCGGUCUAUUCUCUCAGGCAUGCUGGAAGCCCAGGAUAUGCCCUGUUUGAACAGCUGCAUCCAGACCUGCAUUUCCUUCCAGAAUCCUUCAAAAAAGAUGAGCUUGCUUAAGAUUUAGCCGACUAUUGGGUCAUUGCCUCCUUCCGGGGUUCGGGGAGGUUGUCUCUGACCUGGAGUUGGAAUCAGGUCUUGGGAGCCCAGGCACAUCAUAUGACAUGUUCCAGGUGAAGAUGGAGUUUGGCAGGGAAGAGACCUGGCCGGGUCUCCUGGGAAGAGGAUGUGACCAGGUGGCUUUAGUUUCAACGGUGUUAGACAAGUUUGGGCCAGGUCCAACCAUACUAGACAGAAGGGGGCUGUGAGCAUUUUUCAAGGACUAGUUAGAAUGCCAAUAGAACCACGGGGGUCCCAGAAGACAAGAGGCAGGAAGAGGCAGGCCUCUGCCAGGGAUGGAAGGUGAUGAGAUGUUUCCAGAGAACAAAGAGGGCUUAACCACUGACCUCUCCCACAUGUGGUCAACUGCCUCCAUUAAGAUUGAACUUUAACAAAAAUGGGGCCUCCGUCAUUCUCCAGAGAAUACCCAGCCUGCAAGUGCCCAAAGAUGCUACAGACCUUCCCAUGUGGGCACAUCAGGAGAGAAUGUUGACAGCACCUUGUUGGCCUGGCCUCGCUGAGGGUCCGGUAGGCCUGCCCAUGAGCUCUGGCAAGCAGAUCCCAGGAGACUAGACACUGGCAACUCUCAUCAGGAUUUCCAAAGGGAUGAGGAAUUGAGGCCUACGCAGAAGGUUUGUGUGCUUUUAACAAAGAGAGGAAGUGGCAAUUCCCAAGAGCCAACAUGAGCUGGAUCAAAUGAAGGAAAACUGCAAACCUGGCCUCAUUUUCUCCUGUGGUAACAGAGUUCACACCACACAGAAGACAGUGUUUAAGCACCUCACACGUGCUAGUACCCUGCUAGAGGAUUUCCAUAAUCUCAUUCACUCUUACAAGCACCCUGAGGACACCCAAGCACAGAGUUGUCACCUGCCAAGUUGCAC